UUGCCUGCUGUUAGCUUGUGGAAUUGUG
rnacentral:piRNA from 1 species